rnacentral:rRNA from 1 species
CGGACGGCUGAGUAACGCGUAGGUGACCUGCCCCGAAGUGGGGAAUAACUGCCCGAAAGGGUGGCUAAUACCGCAUGUGGUGGUGUGUUCAUUCACACCAGUAAAGCCGCAAGGCGCUUCGGGAGGGGCCUGCGUCCGAUUAGCUCGUUGGUGGGGUAACGGCUCACCAAGGCGACGAUCGGUAGGUGGUCUGAGAGGACGAUCACCCAGACUGGGACUGAGACACGGCCCAG